rnacentral:lncRNA from 1 species
GGAGUCGGAAUUCUAGUUUGAUUAGGAUUUGAAUUCCGCAAGUUGGGUUGUUUCCAACUUUCGGUAUUCUACUAGGUUUAGGAGUUAUUUCGUUUUUUUUGCCUUUUUUUUGGUAAUUUUCUCGUUUUCCUAGUUUGAUUAGGUUUUUUCCUUUUUUUGGUAAUUUUCUCGUUUUCCUAGUUUGAUUAGGUUUUUCGUUUUUUUUUUUAGUAUAAAUAGUUGCUCUAGGGUUUAUUUUUCAUCAUCUUUCAUUAUUAAUAAAAAUUUCU